rnacentral:misc_RNA from 1 species
UUUCCGUAGGUGAACCUGCGGAAGGAUCAUUCAUAAUAAGUGUUUUAUGGCACUUUUUUAAAUCCAUAUCCACCUGUGUGCAAUGUCAGGGUUGAUUUUUCUCUCGAGAGGAUCAGCCCCAAACAUCAACUAUAUCUCAACUCUUUGUCUGAAAAAUAUUAUGAAUAAAACAAUUCAAAAUACAACUUUCAACAACGGAUCUCUUGGCUCUC